UUUAUCUGUUAGUUGUGUGUGCUGUAAAAAUUCUUGCUUUUUAAGAUAUUAGGUGCAGUAAUAGGUUGGCAGAGUUUGUAAGAAUCCUUUGGUAGAAAUGCAAUUGUAAGUCUGAGAUGAAAUUUAUAGACAGAGGUUUUCAGGUUUAUCUUAGGAUACAUAUGUAUAUAGAGAGGGAUUUUCUUUGUUGUGACAAGAUAUUAAAAGGAAAUUGAUUUAAAUAAAGAAAUAAGUUGGCAAUUAUAUAGAAUACAACUCCAACACGGAAGAAUGGGGUCACUUUGGCAGGACAAAGGCACAGUCAGCUUUGAGGAGAAAUGGCCGGCGAUGCGACCGACGGUACUCAAACUGCUGCGGCAGGAGUGCGUAAGCCGGGCCGAGUGGCAGGACCUGUUCUGGGCCGUCCACAAGGUCUGCCUC